CCCUUAGAUGUCCUGGGCUGCACGCGCGCUACACUGAUGUGUCCAGUAAGCACCUAACCUCUUCCGAAAGGAACGGGUAACCUUUGCAAAGCACAUCGUGAUGGGGAUAGAUUAUUGCAAUUAUUAGUCUUGAACGAGGAAUUCCUAGUAAGCACAAGUCAUCAGCUUGUGUUGAUUACGUCCCUGCCCUUUGUACACACCGCCCGUCGCUCCUACCGAUUGAAUGUUCCGGUGAGCUCUUCGGACUGCGCGGUCUGCAGUUUCUGCGUUCCGUGCGGAAAGUUGCGCAAACCUUAACAUUUAGAGGAAGGAUAAGUCGUAACA
rnacentral:rRNA from 1 species